GCGCGUGCGUGCGUGCAUGCGUGUUUGGUAUGGAAAGGCCGUGAGCCGGGAGGGAGAGGGAGUUUGCAGGUACCACCAGAACUUUGGCUGGUCUCUCUAAAGGCACAGAUUUAACUCCGGGCAAGAAAGAAGAUAAGGACACAGAAGCUGUGAGAGGAUAAGUCACCUCCCAAAUAUCAUAUUGCAGACAUGGUGGAAUCCGGCUUCCCCACACCCCCGAAGUUAUUUGUGUAGCCACGUGACUCUGUUUCAAGACUUGUGAGUGGAAAGGAAGGUGUCUCUCCCAGGCUGGAGAACUUAACUAGUGGUACUGUUCCUCCUGGGUGCUGUUCCUCUACCUGGGCAGCCAGCAGUGCUGGAGAGAUGGAGGUCCCAGCAGACUGGAUCCCUGGGUGAAAAGACAUGGAGCCGACCUUCCCGCUGACCCGUAUGAGAUAAGAAGCAUGAGCAAGAAAUAACACUUUGUGGUGCUUAAACCACACGAAUUUGGGGGAUUUUUCUUACUGUAUUUUAAUCUUCCCUGGCUGACUCAUCAUGGGUCAAAUCUAUAUUAAAUUAUUUGUCAUAUGCAUUAUAUAAGAAUUUCCAAUUAAAAUUAAAAGUGUGAAGAGUUGAACUAUAUCUGGCACAGACAGUGGAAACAAAGCCAACAACGAAAGCCUAGCAUAGAAAGGUAACGAAUUUGGGACUUUCGUGUAUAUGGCCACUAAGAUAAUGUUUUUCUUAUACAUGUGCUUAUGAAAAAUUGACAGUUUUCUCACUCGGCUGGUAACAGAAUGGAUUGUUUGGUAAGGGAAGUAGUUGCCGUCUCCAGACGUCCAGUGUGGAUGACUGAGAAUUGGACAAAAGGCAAUCAUCCAAUAAGAGUUAGUAGCUUGGUUACAUCCUUAAUUAGUGAUCUGGGAUAAAUUCUGCUCGAUGAGAUGGCUGGGUGACA